rnacentral:rRNA from 1 species
AGAUUGAACGCUAGCGGGAUGCUUUACACAUGCAAGUCGAACGGCAGCGCGGACUUCGGUCUGGCGGCGAGUGGCGAACGGGUGAGUAAUAUAUCGGAACGUGCCCAGUAGCGGGGGGAUAACUACGCGAAAGCGUGGCUAAUACCGCAUACGCCCUACGGGGGAAAGGGGGGGAUCGCAAGACCUCUCACUAUUGGAGCGGCCGAUAUCAGAUUAGCUAGUUGGUGAGGUAAAGGCUCACCAAGGCGACGAUCUGUAGCUGGUUUGAGAGGACGACCAGCCACACUGGGACUGAGACACGGCCCAGACUCCUACGGGAGGCAGCAGUGGGGAAUUUGGACAAUGGGGGAAACCCUGAUCCAGCCAUCCCGCGUGUGCGAUGAAGGCCUUCGGUUGUAAGCACUUUGGCAGGAAGAAACGGCGUUAGACUAAUAUUCAGCGUCACUGACGGUACCUGCAGAAUACGCACCGACUAACUACGUGCCAGCACGCCGA